rnacentral:lncRNA from 1 species
GAGUGGACUUCAGGGUACAAAACUCUCAAGUAAUUCUCUGGAACUGCCCCAGGACAUGGCCCAUCGCCCACGCGAAGGGGGAGAAACAGGGCGAGAGAGCGCACUGGGUAUGUGUGGAGUGGGGGCCUGCUUCGAAGGCUAGGUAUCCGCACAAAGAAAGGGAGACCCGGAGUCAGUCGGUCAGGCCCGGAAAGCCGGUCCCAAGGAGUAUGUCAGUUAGUCAGCGGGUUCCAAGCAGAUGAGAAGAGGCCUCAGUCCGCUCCCCACCCACUUUGUUCGAACCCAGGAGAGGGAAAAGUGACCAAACCAGGCUGCCGGGGAGGGCAGGGAAGAGAAGAAAGGCGGAGGCGCUAAGCCACAUCGGCAGAAGCCCAAGGGGACUUCCUGCUCCUUUCCUCAGCCGGGGGGGAAAGGCGAAGAUCGAGCGCGGCCCGGAGGAAGGCGACGGGACCAGGGUCCCCGCGGGGGCGGCUGAGGCCAUUAACGCCCCCAAACGGCUCCAUCCUGUCCACUGGGCCCUCGCCGCCGCCUCACCUGAGGACUUCGAAGCGGCUACACGGCGGCCUCCGCGCCCUCUAGGGCCGCCCCCCAUCAGCAGCCAGCCCUAACCCGGCUCAGGUUAGGCUUCCCUGGCCCGGCAGACUCUUCCGGGAGACGUGGAAAGGUGGCAAGGACCCCAAAACAGAGUGGCUUCUGAGAUGCCUGUGCGGCGGACAGUGGAGAGCAGCCACCUGCAGAGGAUUCAGGCAGCAGCGCCGACGACUGCGGGGGCCUCGCGCCCGGCCACGCCCUCCUUCCGCCCGCCGUGGGGUGGGAGGGCGGGGCCUGUUUGCGUGAGACGUACCUCGACUCCCACAGAAAUGGCCUGCACGCGGCCCGCAGAGACGUGGAGGCCACGCCUUGCCAGGGGCGAGGCUUCUGCGUCCUCGCGAGCGAGAGAGGCGGUACCCUACCUGGAAGGAAGGCCUUACUCCAAUCAAUCCAGUUUUGCAGAGGAGAAAGUGAUAAAGGAAGCCAAAAAAAAAAAAAAAAGAAAAGAAAAAAAGAAAAAAGAAAGAAAGCAGCUGAAAACAGAUUCUCUCCUGGCGGGAGCUUGGGAGGUAGGGAUCAACCUCUAAAUUCAACACCUCCCCACACCCUCCUCAACCUUGCUGCACAAGAAGAAUUUCAAAAUGAAUGCCUGACUAAAGCAAUCUUUUCUCCGUACUUAAUAGCAUCCCUUCCACUGGGUCCCCUACCUCACAAGGGAUGGCGCCCUCUGGUGAUACUGAGGGUAGGUGGCUUGCUAGAAACUGCAGUUCUAGAUACUGUGUUCCAGCUGUAGUGUCAGGGAUAGGAUUUCAAGCCAGUCAGUCUGACACGAGAGGCAUGUUCUUGGGCACAUCCUCGAUUGCUUUGAGGAGGUGAAAAUGACCUUCAGGAAUCAAGUGAGAGAGAGGAUGGAGCAGGAAGUACACAGGAGAACCAGGUCUAUAAUUGGAGGUCUAAUCCUGUCACUGCCAUGGUGUCUCAGCUCUCGAGAGCAGGGCAGAGAUGCCACUGGCCCCCAGAAAGGGUGCAGACCAUAGCUGGGGAAGGGCUCUCUCCAGACUCCUGCGUCCCCCUGCUGUUGGCACUCGUAGUUAAGCCUACAGGGUGAAGCACGACUACCCCUCCUCCCCCAGCUCCCAAGUGGACAUUCGUGAUUCCUGAAAGCCAAAGCAUAUUCUGAGACUCACAAGCAGUGGGAGGGAAACUGAUGAUUCAGGCUUAAGUCAGGUACCCAGCCAGGUUCAGGUGGCUGUGACUGCAUCCAGGUGGAGGUCACACAGCACAACCUCAGUCUGCGCCUGGACGCCAAGUGUACCCUGAAGAUGUCCCAAUUCUUAUCACCAGCCCAGAGUUCUCCUCUUGGAUUGCCUGCAUGACCUCAUUUGGGUGUCUCAAAGGACC